UAGCCAAACAAACAAAAACGGGGGACAGAGCUCGGAUGGCUCAGCUCGUCGUGGGGAGGGAGGAGACCCCAGGAUCUCAGAGGCUGUGCCAGGGGAGCCCGAGCUUCCGCAACUCUCGCCCAUCUAUCUAUACCGGGUGCCAGGGCUUUGAGGAAUGAGGAACUGGCAAAGGUCCACUCUGAGAACUGAGCUGAAGUUCCUUACUGGAGACCAUCACCUGGGGAGGAGUCUGUUUGUUUUGGGUUUUUAAGUUUUAUUUUUAUGGACACAGCAACUUACAAAGAUUGCCUGCUAAGACAUUGAGAGGCAGUGAUUCUCAGGGGAAAGAGGGAAACUCCCUCCCCAUCCCCAUUUCCCACCUCAUGAAACCAAGGAUCCUUCCAAUACUGAAAUGAGCAUGAGGAUACGAGUUCUUCAAAGAGAUUAAAUGUUUUGCCCAUGGACACACUUAUUCCAAGUUCAGGAUUGUAUAUAGAAGGAAGAAUACCCUCAAGAGGACAGAAAGAAAAAGAGAUCUCAAAAAAUUGGAGAGAACUCAACAUCCCAAGGAGGAGCUAAAAUGAGAAUUGGUGCUUUCUAUCAACAUACUCAGAAGAUAUAGUCCAGCACCUGACCUAAGCAUCAUCUGGCAAGUGUAUACAGAUUAGUAAAGGUCUCUUAAUAUGAGAAUGCUGUGAAAAUACAACUUAUAAGAAAUUAACCAAGUACCUCUCCCACAAAGAUUUUUAAGGUAAGAUUACUAAUCAGCUUUAGGAUGAAAAUCUUCACCCCGCAUUUGUUUUUUGGUUAUCAAAUAAGAGUAAUUCCCCAACACUCCUACAACUCUCUCCUCAAACCUUUUUAGUUCAUUUUCCCAACCUAGAAUUUAGUAAUAGAACCUAUGAGCUGGAAAAAGUUCCUAGAAAGUAUCUCAAUUCUGUGUAAAUUCUUGCAAAGACCAGGAUCUUACUACCUCAUGAAGCUGUCAGUCUACAUCAUCAAUGGCACUCCAUCUCUGUUAUAACAGUAUUCAGUACUACCUCUUAUUUCAAGCUUUUAAUGUCUUCUUUCAAGGUGUACAGGCAAUCUUUUAUUUCUUCCUGCUCUACAAAGGUCCCUUUUCAACAGAAAAUAAUAUCCACAUAAUUUAUAGCUAAGCAUACUUCUAUCACUUGAGAAUCUCUGGAAUACAACACAGUCUAGAAACUAAUAAUAAAUAGAGCCAUUGACCACAAAUUUUUAUUUCAUUCAAGUGUAUAAAAGGCUUCAAAAUAACAUUGGAUGACAAUAUCAAAU